rnacentral:lncRNA from 1 species
CAGCAACCACAACCCUGAGCAAAGACGCCAAGGCAGCCAACCCCAAGCCGGCACCACCUGCAGCGGCGCAGGGAGCAGUGGCAAGGGCGACCUCACAGGCGGCGCCUGCUGAUGGGGAUAAGAUCACCGCAAGGAAGAUUUUGGGAACAGUAAAAUGGUUCAAUGUAAGAAAUAAAUGGUUUCAUCUAUGCGAAUGGCACCAAGGAAGAUGCAGUUGUACAGCAGAAUACCAUACAGAAGAGUAACCCCAGGAAGUACCUUAGCAGUGUAGGACACGGAGAGACUGUGGAGUUUGAUGAUGUUGCAGCAGAAAAGGGUGGGGAGGCAGUAAAUGUUACAGGCCCCUGUAGAGUCCAGUUGAUAGCAGUAAGUAUGCAGCUGACCUUAACCAUCAUUGACGCUAUCCAUGUGGUCCUCAGGCAAUUACCAGUAGAAUUACCAGAAUAGUGAGAGUGGAGAAAAGAACGAAGGACGGGAGAGUGCUCCCUUAGGCUCGGCCCAACAAUGCCGGCCCUGCUGCAGGCGAAGGUUCCUGCCUUACUACAGGCAGAGACCCUACGGAAAUUGACCACCAUAUUCUAACCCUCCUUGCAGGGAGCAGCGACGGAGGGUGCUAACAACUGGGGUGCAGGAGCACAAGGUAGGCCAGUGAGGCAGGAUAUUUGUAUGGUUUAUAGACCACGAUUCCUCAGGGAACCUCAUCGCCAAAGCCAGCCUAGAGAGGACGGCAGUGAAGAGAGUAAAGAAAAUCAAGAUGAGACCCAAUAUCAGCAGCGACCUCAACAUCGGUGCUGCUAAAACCCCAAUUAUCUAUGUAGACUCCCAGAAAACCCUAAACCACAACAUGGCAAAGAGACAACAGCAGCCAGUCCACCAGUCAAGAAUUCUGCACCCGAGGCAGAAGAAGGU